rnacentral:rRNA from 1 species
AUUGAACGCUGGCGGCAGGCUUAACACAUGCAAGUCGAGCGGGGGAAGGUAGCUUGCUACCGGACCUAGCGGCGGACGGGUGAGUAAUGCUUAGGAAUCUGCCUAUUAGUGGGGGACAACAUCUCGAAAGGGAUGCUAAUACCGCAUACGUCCUACGGGAGAAAGCAGGGGAUCUUCGGACCUUGCGCUAAUCGAUGAGCCUAAGUCGGAUUAGCUAGUUGGUGGGGUAAAGGCCCACCAAGGCGACGAUCUGUAGCGGGUCUGAGAGGAUGAUCCGCCACACUGGGACUGAGACACGGCCCAGACUCCUACGGGAGGCAGCAGUGGGGAAUAUUGGACAAUGGGGGGAACCCUGAUCCAGCCAUGCCGCGUGUGUGAAGAAGGCCUUAUGGUUGUAAAGCACUUUAAGCGAGGAGGAGGCUACUCUAGUUAAUACCUAGGGAUAGUGGACGUUACUCGCAGAAUAAGCACCGGCUAACUCUGUGCCAGCCGCCGCCGUAA